CCAAGUGGAUCAAGGCAG
rnacentral:tRNA from 10 species